CUGGAUCUGUGAAUCAUGGUGAGAAAGCACAUUUGAUAUCUUCAAACUUAAAUGUUAUGUGUUUGAAAAACAUUUUGAUGAUUUAACUUCUGUAAAUUCCUGUUAAAUUUCUUGACACAGACAGCUUUGAGUGAUGAUUCCAUGUGUUCACUGUGUUUUAAAUGAUGCUGGACAUUUUAUGCGUUGUGUGGUUUAUCUUGCAGGAGACUUUCAGUUGGUAAUGAUGAUCAUCUUUCGACCUGUGCUGCUCCUGCUGCUGCUGCUGCUGCUUGUGAUAAUUGUGAUCCUCGUCAACAAACGAUUUUCAUCUCCAAAAACACAGAGCAGCAACACAGCACAUUAAAGAGGAUAACGUCUAUGAGGAGGUACAGGAGCGCCUCCAGGAGAC